rnacentral:rRNA from 1 species
GUGGGGAAUAUUGGGCAAUGGGCGAAAGCCUGACCCAGCAACGCCGCGUGAGGGAAGAAGGCCUUCGGGUUGUAAACCUCUGUCCUUGGUGACGAAGAAAGUGACGGUAGCCAAGGAGGAAGCCCCGGCUAACUACGUGCCAGCAGCCGCGGUAAUACGUAGGGGGCGAGCGUUGUCCGGAAUUACUGGGCGUAAAGGGUGCGUAGGUGGCCUUUUAAGUUGGAUGUGAAAUACCCGGGCUUAAAUUGGGGGGUGCAUCUAAUACGGGGAGGCUAGAGUGCAGGAGAGGGAAGCGGAAUUCCUAGUGUAGCGGUGAAAUGCGUAGAUAUUAGGAGGAACACCAGUGGCGAAGGCGGCUUUCUGGACUGUAACUGACACUGAGGCACGAAAGCGUGGGGAGCAAACAGGAUUAGAAACCCGGGUAGUCC